GCCGGGUUCAGUGGCGCCACCUGUAAUCCAAGCUACUGGGAGGCUGAGGCUGGCGGAUCGCUUGAGCUCAGGGCUUCUUCUGGACUGCAGUGGAUUAUGUCGAUCGGGUGUCCGCACUAAGUUCGGUGUCGAUAUGGUGCUCCUGGGGGAGCUCGGGACCACCAGGUCGUCUAAGGAGGGGUGAACCGGCCCAGGUCGGAGACGGAGCAGGUCAAAGCCCCCGUGUCGAUCAGUAGUGGGAUCGCACCUGUGAAUAGACAGCCUGAGCGAUACAGCGAGACCCAGGCUUU
rnacentral:SRP_RNA from 1 species